rnacentral:rRNA from 1 species
UACGUAGGGUGCGAGCGUUGUCCGGAAUUAUUGGGCGUAAAGAGCUUGUAGGCGGUUUGUCGCGUCUGCUGUGAAAAUCCGGGGCUCAACCCCGGACUUGCAGUGGGUACGGGCAGGCUAGAGUGUGGUAGGGGAGACUGGAAUUCCUGGUGUAGCGGUGAAAUGCGUAGAUAUCGGGAGGAACACCAGUGGCGAAGGCGACUUCCUGGCCUGUUCUUGACGUUGAGGCGCGAAAGCUAGGGGAGCAAACGGG